rnacentral:rRNA from 1 species
UGCAAGUCGAACGCUUCUUUUUCCACCGGAGCUUGCUCCACCGGAAAAAGAGGAGUGGCGAACGGGUGAGUAACACGUGGGUAACCUGCCCAUCAGAAGGGGAUAACACUUGGAAACAGGUGCUAAUACCGUAUAACAAUCAAAACCGCAUGGUUUUGAUUUGAAAGGCGCUUUCGGGUGUCGCUGAUGGAUGGACCCGCGGUGCAUUAGCUAGUUGGUGAGGUAACGGCUCACCAAGGCCACGAUGCAUAGCCGACCUGAGAGGGUGAUCGGCCACAUUGGGACUGAGACACGGCCCAAACUCCUACGGGAGGCAGCAGUAGGGAAUCUUCGGCAAUGGACGAAAGUCUGACCGAGCAACGCCGCGUGAGUGAAGAAGGUUUUCGGAUCGUAAAACUCUGUUGUUAGAGAAGAACAAGGAUGAGAGUAACUGUUCAUCCCUUGACGGUAUCUAACCAGAAAGCCACGGCUAACUACGUGCCA